AUGGCGACCGGCGCACGGGUGAGUAACACGUAUCCAACCUGCCGAUAACUCUGGAAUAGCCUUUCGAAAGAAAGAUUAAUACCCGAUGGCAUAGUUCUUCCGCAUGGUAGAACUAUUAAAGAAUUUCGGUCAUCGAUGGGGAUGCGUUCCAUUAGGUUGUUGGCGGGGUAACGGCCCACCAAGCCUUCGAUGGAUAGGGGUUCUGAGAGGAAGGUCCCCCACAUUGGAACUGAGACACGGUCCAAACUCCUACGGGAGGCAGCAUG
rnacentral:rRNA from 1 species